AUGCAGCACAGGGGGCUCACCAAAUCUAACUGUAUUUUCUUUUCUUUCCCUUCUCAUGUGCAUCACUGGAAGUUUCCUGAAGUGCAUGGACAAGAAGGGAGAAGCGUGGCAGUGAACAGUCAGGAGCAGGUGGAUGGCUCUGGUGAUGGAUCAGGAGGGAAUGAUGCACCUGUGGCUGUUGCAGCCCCUGUAGAACAAGCAUCAGCAGAGGAUACUGAACGUUCAGCUGCAGAGCCAGGAAUUGUUAUUAAGUGUCCAAUUUGCAUGGACUUUUACUCGGAGGUAAGGCUCCACCUCUUGUCAUCCUUUGUGCUUUGUGGGAGGAGGAAGAAGCCAAAAGGGGAGUUGCACAAGUCAGUCGGCUGAUGUGGGCAGCUGGCUGGAAGCACAGCCCUUGCUGGGAAGCUCCACAAGUCCC
rnacentral:lncRNA from 1 species